GACGAACGCUGGCGGCGUGCUUAACACAUGCAAGUCGAACGGAAAGGCCCUGCUUUUGUGGGGUGCUCGAGUGGCGAACGGGUGAGUAACACGUGAGUAACCUGCCCUUGACUUUGGGAUAACUUCAGGAAACUGGGGAUAAUACCGGAUAGGAGCUCCUGCUGCAUGGUGGGGGUUGGAAAGCUUCGGCGGGUGGGGAUGGACUGGCGGCUUAUCAGCUUGUUGGUGGGGUAGUGGCUUACCAAGGCUUUGACGGGUAGCCGGCCUGAGAGGGUGACCAGCCACAUUGGGACUACGGUAGGGACCAGAGUGCUACGGGAGGCAGCAGGGGGAAGUAUGGCACAGUGGGCGGGAGCCUGAGACAGCAACGCCGCGUGCGGGAUGACGGCCUUCGGGUUGUAAACCGCUUUCGCCUGUGACGAAGCGGGAGUGACGGUAAUGGGUAAAGAAGCACCGGCUAACUACGUG
rnacentral:rRNA from 1 species